rnacentral:rRNA from 1 species
UGGGGAAUUUUGCACAAUGGGGGAAACCCUGAUGCAGCGACGCCGCGUGAUUUAGAAGGCCUUCGGGUUGUAAAAAUCUUUUCUAUGGGAAGAAAAUGACAGUACCAUAGGAAUAAGGACCGGCUAAUUACGUGCCAGCAGCCGCGGUAAUACGUAAGGUCCGAGCGUUGUCCGGAAUCAUUGGGCGUAAAGGGUACGUAGGCUGGUAAGCAAGUUAGAAGUGAAAGCCUGUAGCUCAACUACAGUAAGCUUUUAAAACUGCUCAUCUUGAGAUAUGGAAGGGAAAGUGGAAUUCCGAGUGUAGCGGUGAAAUGCGCAGAUAUUAGGAGGAAUACCGGUGGCGAAGGCGACUUUCUGGCCAUAAACUGACGAUGAGGUACGAAAGCGUGGGUAGCAAACAGG